rnacentral:rRNA from 1 species
GACGAACGCUGGCGGCGUGCUUAACACAUGCCAGUCGAACGGAAAGGCCCCUUUGGGGGUACUCGAGUGGCGAACGGGUGAGUAACACGUGAGUAACCUGCCCUUGACUUCGGGAUAACUUCAGGAAACUGGGGCUAAUACCGGCUAGGAAUCCUUGCUGCAUGGUGGGGGUUGGAAAGCUUCGGCGGUUUUGGAUGGACUCGCGGCUUAUCAGCUUGUUGGUGGGGUAGUGGCUUACCAAGGCUUUGACGGGUAGCCGGCCCGAGAGGGCGAGCGGCCACAUUGGGACUGGGAUACGGCCCAGACUUCUACGGGAGGCAGGAGGGGGGAAUAAUGCACAAAGGGCGGAAGCCUGAUGCAGCAACGCCGCGUGCCGGAUGACCGGCUUCGGGUUGUAAACCGCUUUCAGCAGGGGCGAAGCUUGUGGUGACGGUAACUGCAGAAGAAGCACCGGCUAACUACGUG